rnacentral:rRNA from 1 species
CACGUAGGGCGCAAGCGUUGUCCGGAAUUAUUGGGCGUAAAGAGCUCGUAGGCGGUCUGUUGCGUCUGCUGUGAAAACUCGGGGCUUAACCCCGAGCCUGCAGUGGAUACGGGCAGACUAGAGGUAGGUAGGGGAGAAUGGAAUUCCCGGUGUAGCGGUGAAAUGCGCAGAUAUCGGGAGGAACACCAGUGGCGAAGGCGGCGAUCUGGGCAGAUACUGACGCUGAUGUGCGAAAGCGUGGGGAGCAAACAGG